rnacentral:rRNA from 1 species
UACGUAGGCGGAAGAUUAAGUCAGUGGUGAAAUCCUGCAGCUUAACUGUAGAACUGUCAUUGAUACUGGUUUUCUUGAAUAUAGUUGAGGUAGGCGGAAUGUGUAAUGUAGUGGUGAAAUGCUUAGAUAUUACACAGAACACCGAUUGCGAAGGCAGCUUACUAAGCUAUGAUUGACGCUGAGGUACGAAAGCGUGGGGAGCGAACAGGAUUAGAUACCCUGGUAGUCC